UGCAGUGAUUUUGAUGGAUAUAAAGAAGCUAAGAAUUCUUUGUAUAAGACACUACAUACUAUUGAAGAUAAUUUUAAAAUUGAUAAUACAAAAACUUUUAAAAUCAUACAUUUAAAUCAAGCCAAUAAAGACGAAAUCACAAAAGAACAAAAAUUUAGCUCUGAUAAAAAUUUAUCUAGCAUUAAAAAAAUUAUCUUUAAUAAUUUAAAAUUUUUAAAUAAUGCAAUUAAUCAAAAUGAAAAUAAAACGCUCAAUAAAAUUAUUGAUGAAAACAAUGUAGAAAAUAUUGAAAAUUUUUUAAAAGAAAUUCAAAAAGAAUUAAAUAUAUUAUUAAAAAAUAUCAAAGAAUCUAACUAUUUUGAGCAAGAAA
rnacentral:misc_RNA from 1 species